rnacentral:rRNA from 1 species
CGCGACCCCAGGUCAGGCGGGACUACCCGNUGAGUUUAAGCAUAUCAAU